rnacentral:tRNA from 1 species
GAGAGAGGCUCGCAGCAAUGAAUACUGCUAAUUUUCAUGACUCGGGUUAGACCCCCGAGCUCACUCG